rnacentral:rRNA from 1 species
ACAGCAGCCGCCGCGGUAACACGGAGGGUGCAAGCGUUGUCCGGAUUUAUUGGGUUUAAAGGGUGCGUAGGCGGCUAUUUAAGUCAGCGGUGAAAGACUCCGGCUCAACCGGAGCAGUGCCAUUGAUACUGGAUAGCUUGAGUGUUGGAGGGGUACAUGGAAUUGAUGGUGUAGCGGUGAAAUGCAUAGAUACCAUCAGGAACACCGAUAGCGAAGGCAUUGUACUGGCCAACAACUGACGCUGAGGCACGAAAGCAUGGGGAGCGAACAGGAUUAGAUACCCCCGUAGUCCCUGUCUCUUAUAC